rnacentral:snRNA from 1 species
GGAUGUGAGGGGGAUCUGGCUGCAGCUUCUGUCACCCCAUUGAUUGCCAGGGUUGAUUCGGGUGAUCUGGCUGGCUAGGCAGGUGUCCCCCUCCUCCCGAACUGCUCCAUGUGUGUCCCUCCUGAAGCUGUGUGCUCAGUCAAGAGGAUGACCACCCCUGAUAGAAGAGGACCGUUUCUUCAGUCAAGGGUAUACAAGUAGCUACACUCCCCUGCUAGAACCUCCAAACAAGCUCUCAAGGUCCUGAGCAAUUAUUCAGUUCACUAUCUUAAAGACACUGUGCAGAAUGUGCAAAGAAGGUAAAAUAAAUCUGACUAUUAUAACUACACAGUUUUAGCUGCAUGUGGUGGCACACAUAUGU